UUUAUCAACUAGCAAGCCUUUUCCUGUGCCUCUGUCUUUUUUCGGAAGCUCCAGAUUCCCACCCUCCUCUAAGGAUCCCAGCUAGCCCAGCUUCCCACCAAUGGACACUUUACAGCCAUAAGCCUAUUGAAUAAAUGUGGUUGUCUAUGAUGCUAAUGAUAAGUGGCUGACUUGUUAUUUCCUGCCAGAUUUCCCACUGUCAGUUGGAUUUAUGUUCUUCUGGAUCUGACCCUCCUUCUGAUGUCUCCAUGAUUUCCUGUUUCUGGGAACCAUAGAAGGCAAACACAAGCGGCAGUGGUGAGAAACAACCCUUCAGCCAAAUGAAGCUCCAAGCUUGUUUGUACAGUUAUUUGCACGUCAUCUCCCCCAUUAGAUGCAAACCAACAACAAAUCUAAUUAUGUCACAGAAAAAGCACAGAACUUCAUGGUGGAUCCAGGAGAGCCCAACAGUAGAAAGAAGUAAAACAGAGAUACCAGUUUCAGUGAGGAUUAGGCCCAGCAACCCAAACAUAGAUGUUAUAUUCAACAAAGAGGAGGCUUAAUGAACUCAGCAGAAUAACUUGCCCAGAAGAGGUUAUUGGCCUGGCAGAAAUUCAAGGAUCAUGCAGAAUUCUAAUCCAGGAAUUCAUACACCUGAAGAGCAGCACUAUACACCAAUGCUUAUCUCUUCCUACUGUGUUAUACCAAGGGGAGUGUGUGCUUAAUGGAUGUAGAGAAGAUGCAGUCUCAGCCCUCCAGAACCUUACCAUCAAAAAGAGAAGAUGAAGAUGAAAACAAAAAUAGCCCUAAACCAACAACAGGUUGAUGCAUACAUGAUGUGGAUACAAAUACCUAGAGAGGUAUGCCCAGGACCUGGGAUUUUGCCUGUGUGAGAACUUCCUCCAGUAAAUACUUGUCCAUAACUUAAAGCCUUAGAGAAUGACCUUAAGCUCACAGAGAUUAAGUCAUUUGUCCAUGGUCACAUAGUAAGUGUCAGGGGGAAGAUUUGUUGGGAUCAUACAUCUCAAGAUGGAAAAGACUUCAGAGGUCAUUGAAUCUAACCUCUUCAUUUUAUAGAUAAAGAAACUAAAGCCUAAGGAGAUUAUUUAAAGUCAUAAAG
rnacentral:lncRNA from 1 species